rnacentral:rRNA from 1 species
GCUCAGGACGAACGCUGGCGGCGUGCUUAACACAUGCAAGUCGAACGAUGAACCUGGAGCUUGCUCUAGGGGAUUAGUGGCGAACGGGUGAGUAACACGUGAGUAACCUGCCCUUGACUCUGGGAUAACCUCCGGAAACGGAAGCUAAUACCGGAUAUGACGCACGGAGGCAUCUCCUGUGCGUGGAAAGAAUUUCGGUCAAGGAUGGACUCGCGGCCUAUCAGGUAGUUGGUGAGGUAACGGCCCACCAAGCCUACGACGGGUAGCCGGCCUGAGAGGGUGACCGGCCACACUGGGACUGAGACACGGCCCAGACUCCUACGGGAGGCAGCAGUGGGGAAUAUUGCACAAUGGGCGAAAGCCUGAUGCAGCAACGCCGCGUGAGGGACGACGGCCUUCGGGUUGUAAACCUCUUUUAGUAGGGAAGAAGCGAAAGU